rnacentral:rRNA from 1 species
AUGUCAUCCUGGUUUCUUACGAGCUUAUUUAAAAAGGAUCCUGCUGCUGGAGGGCGUGCCGUCGGAUGCGCCGUUGGCUUCAGGCCAUGUAUCGACAUUGACAAGGGCAAAGUUAAGCAAAUUGUUGGCUCUACUCUCCGGGAUGCAUCGAAUGAUGGCACGACACGGGUGACAAAAGACUCCAUCAGAAUUUGCAAAUAUUUACAUAGAAGAUGGACUGGUUGGUGGGCAUGUCAUAAUGCUUGGCGGAGACCCUGCAAGCUGCUAUGCUGCCCUGGAAGCACUCCUCUUCCUACCUCACCACCUGUUCAGGAACCGUAUCAUAAGUGGCGCCUUCUUCCGCGAACACUUGCGGUGCUCGCUGUCGGCGUCAGACUCCCAAGGCACAAGGGACCAUACUGCAAAUAUCAUUCAUCGAACACAUCAUCACAGAAGUACUCUACUGGCAGAGUGGAGCUUAAGGGUGGAAACUUCCAGUUUGCUUCCAAACUUCGUUCCAAUGGGAUUUACAUGGUCAAGCCUCCCUCAGAACGAUCCGAUCCGAGAAAUCCAUCACGACCACUGAAAGUAAUGUCAGUCGAUGGUUUAAAAAGGGCUUUAAGUAAUGCGGAUAAAGUGACCACUAAGAACAACUCUCAGGGUAUAAGGUUCCUCUCCCAUGUAACAGGCGGCACGGAACCGAAUCUCGUGAGCAAUAGUACUUCGACAGCUGUACAGAAGCCGAUGUCGACCUGGAGCGCCCUCUCGGAGAAGCUGAGCUCAGGCAGAAGGCCGGCAUCUUCUGGCACCAAGGUAGGAGCGCCCAAACCGGCCUCACAGAUGCAGGAACAAGAGGCCAAGAGGAGAAAGGUGAACAACCCUUCGGGGAACACGAUUGAGCUGGACCUAGGCAGCUCGGACGACGACAAGAUCAACAUAGUGCUGCGACGCUAG